AUCAGUGCUGUUCCCCACUGUUCAUCCGGGUUCCUCAGAGGCUGCUUACCUGGGGGGUCCCCACCAGCACAUGGUCAGUGUCCAUGCUGAGGCCAAGGGCUCAGCAGACCAGGUGGGGGCCUACAGUGUGCGUUCCUGGGUGGGGAAGGGGGCAUCCUCUCUGUCUUUAAGCUUCACCUCAAGGGUUCAUUCAAACCUGAGACACAGAGGCCGGUUCUGUUGGCCCAAGCCUGUUUAAAGAGAAUGUGUGUUCGUGCCAAGGCUGAGAACUCAGGCAAUCUCUCUGAAAACUCCAGAUGGUCAGCUUCUGUUGAGAAAGGGAGGACGCAUGGCCACACCACAGAAGCCUUCCUGCCUGGCCACACAGGGCUGGUGUAAGACUGCUCUGCCCUUUAGACAAAACAGUUUCCAGUUUGCGCUGCUCCCCAAGGCCCCCACGCAAAUUUCCAAUAUUUGCACCCCUCCACCUCGACACACCCCGCAGGCCUCUGAGUUUACAAUCCCUGCCCCACAGAGCCAGGUGAGUUACCUGUGACCAGGUGAGGCCCAUGCACAGCCCUCAGCUAGAUGACAGAGCCAAAGGCCCUGAAAUCCCACUUCAGGCCACAGUGCCGUCCACUCUCUGCCUGGGACAGGACCCGAAAUGCAGCCUCCUUUGGCAGAAAGGACGUCUUCCUGUGGGGUGGGGAGGACCAUUCCCAGCCUUCUGGGAGACAUCAAGCAACCACCUCCUCCUAAAGAGGCUGGAGGACAGCCCCACAGGCAGCCAGGCAGUGAGGGAGAUGGGGACAGCAUCUCAGCCGAGGUGGGAGGCUGGGGAGGGAGGGAGGGAUCACGGGCACUAGAGAAGGCUGAAUAAUGGCCCCAGGGAUAGCACGUCCUAAUCCCUAGACCUGCAAAUGGGACCUUGUUUGGAACAAGGGUCUUUGCAUCUGUGAUUCAGUUGCGGAUCUUGCUGUGGCGAGAACACGUGGAUGGCCCAGGUGGUCCCUAAAGGCAAUCUCGGUGCUCACACAAGAUGGGGGCAGCGGGAGAUUCGACACAGACAAGGAUGGUCAAGUGGAGAUGGGGCCCGAAGAGAUAUGAAGAUGCUGGUGUUGAAGACAACCACUGAAGUUUGCUUCCCUGAAUUAAAAGUGAAGGAGCUCCGUCCCGGACUCCCUCCUGCUGACCCUGCUACUGUACCUGCCAGCAGAGCCGGCCAAGACCCUCCAGGCUGGCCCCAGCCUGGCCCGCCUACAGCCUCCCAAGCAAGACGGAUUCCCGGGCUGAGGCCAGCUGCAUUCCUCUCCGGAAUCUUUCUCCACUUUUUAUUGUGCCUCAAGCUUUGGCUGUUCCUAAAUAAAUACAAUCCAGCUA